ensembl:lncRNA
AUGUUCCUGGGUUCUGCCAUGUUACCACCAGCCCCAUGUACCAAGCUCUAGAUUAAGGAGUUGGGGGAAAGAAACCUUCUCUGUUCAGUUGUGGAUGGUGGUGGUGUCAACUGGAGUCUGGAGAUAUUUUAAUAGACAACUACAGCACUCAUCUUUUCUGGGUUGCCCUUUAAGUAAAAGCUGUGAGUAGAAAUGAAAUGUUGCUGUAGAUAACUUAAUUGACUUUUACCAUUGCCUGCUUCCUCACCGCCUUCGAAGUACUCCAGGUUUCAGGGGAAAGGAGAAACUUCUCAUCAAUUUAUUGGAUACUGCCCUAGACCUUUAAAGAUUUCCUGUGGCUGCAAGGAUGUUCUCCAGAAGAGAAUAUGGAUCAAGUGGACCAGGCAGCUGGAUAAAAAGGGAAUAUGCCACAAGAAGAGGCCAGGAGAAGAAGUACCUGCUCUAAUGAGAACAUACAAGUUAUUCAAGGUGUGAAGUCUCUGUACCUACCUUUGGGAACUGGGUUCUUAGCUUGGCAAGUCAUUCAGUGCAUUCCUCACAUAAAGCUGCUAGGGAAUGGUAUUAAUUGCAAUAAGUCAAUAAGUUUGUAAGUUAAUCAGGUACUCAUCCAAGGCACAGGAAGAAUCUGUACAAAGGAAUACUAUUCUCAGUAUUCCUAAUAUUACAUACAUAAUGGCUAUGGAACACAUAAAAAUAUAUAUGGUUCAUGGUUUUGCUAUAAAACAAGCUGUCUGUAAAAUUUCCAUUUAAAGUUUAUUUUAAUCUAAUUGAUAUUAAAUGUUGUCCCUUAAUGAGCAGCUCAUUAUUUUGAAGAAUUGACUGUGCAUUUACAUUUUUUUUCUUUAAAAAAGUUACUAAAUUUCUUUAAAAACAUUACUAAUCACUAAAUGCAUGCAAAAUUUUCUACACUACUGAAAUAAUAUUCUACAACAAUAUUCAUUCACUGCAACAUGGAGAGGAAGAUCUGAAAGGUUCACUCAUCCUGAAUGAUAGUGAGGAUGUUGUGUUUAUUUGGUUUUGUGUGUGGGUCUGUUUGUCUGUUUGUUAUUGCUUUCACAUUUUUCUUUCCCUUAAGAGGUCGUGUUGAGCCACAUUCAUUGUUGCCCACAUGUGUUUGUAUAUUGUGCAAAGGUAAUGAACUGAAAUGUAAACUUUGUGCAGAAGAAACUUGCAGUGAGUAAAUGCUUUGCUUACACU